CCAAAGUUAAAAAAAAAAAGAAUUACCAAAAAUAUCAACGCCUUUCUCAACUUCUGUAGCAUCUUAAAAAUACAACAAAGUAUGAACAAAAUGGUUUAUUUGGGAUGUUUGGCUCUGGCCUCAUGUGUUGGUAUGGCUCUUGGUUACGGAAGUGUAAUGACUGGACAGAAGGUCACAGGCUAUCCAUACAUGGCUAACAUGGGAUAUGGGUAUGUUCCCUAUAUGACCCCCAACUCAGGGUUCGGCGGAUUCCUCGGUGGGACCGGAAGCUCUGCAGGAGGCAUGGGAAUGUUUGAAAAUAUCAUACAAUUGUUUUUGUUUAUCUUUGUGAUAAACAUCUUGUUCUCGAGCACAGGUCUAGGCUCCGGGGGUCUCGGUAUCGGCAAGAUAUCAUUACACGCAGUCUCUGAUUACGACUAUUAUCUAAAAUAAUUACAAGGUA